GACGAACGCUGGCGGCGUGCCUAAUACAUGCAAGUCGAACGCAGUGGGGACUGGUGAGUAACACGUUGGUAACCUCCCAUCAGAGGGGAUAACACUUGGAAACAGGUCCUAAACCGUUAUUGUUGGAUGGACCCUCGAUGCAUUAGCUAGUUGGAGAGGUAACGGCUCACCAAGGCCACGAUGCAUAGCCGAGCUGAGAGGGUGAUCGGCCACACGGGGACUGAGACACGGCCCAGACUCCGACGGGAGGCAGCAGUAGGGAAUCUUCGGCAAUGGGCGAAAGCCUGACCGAGCAACGCCGCGUGAGUGAAGAAGGUUUUCGGAUCGUAAAACUCUGUUGUUAGAGAAGCGGUAUCUAACCAGAAAGCCACGGCUAACUACGUGCCAGCAGCCGCGGUAAUUC
rnacentral:rRNA from 1 species